AUUCAGCUGACGAGUCUCAAAGAGGAUGAAACGCACAUCCUGGAU
rnacentral:hammerhead_ribozyme from 1 species